AUUGAACGCUGGCGGCAGGCCUAACACAUGCAAGUCGAGCGGCAGCGGGAAAGUAGCUUGCUACUUUUGCCGGCGAGCGGCGGACGGGUGAGUAAUGCCUGGGAAAUUGCCCAGUCGAGGGGGAUAACAGUUGGAAACGACUGCUAAUACCGCAUACGCCCUACGGGGGAAAGCAGGGGACCUUCGGGCCUUGCGCGAUUGGAUAUGCCCAGGUGGGAUUAGCUAGUUGGUGAGGUAAUGGCUCACCAAGGCGACGAUCCCUAGCUGGUCUGAGAGGAUAAUCAGCCACACUGGAACUGAGACACGGUCCAGACUCCUACGGGAGGCAGCAGUGGGGAAUAUUGCACAAUGGGGGAAACCCUGAUGCAGCCAUGCCGCGUGUGUGAAGAAGGCCUUCGGGUUGUAAAGCACUUUCAGCGAGGAGGAAAGGUUGAUGCCUAAUACGUAUCAACUGAGACGUUACUCGCAGAAGAAGCACCGGCUAACUCCGUGCCAGCCGCCGCGGUAAUAC
rnacentral:rRNA from 1 species